rnacentral:lncRNA from 1 species
UUUUUUUUUUUAGUUUUUACAUUCUAACAAAACUGUCAUUCCAGCAUCCUAACCUGUCAAAUUGAACUAUUUGUAGUUCCUUAUAUAUGCCCUUCACUAUCCCAACUACUAAUCCAAGUUUAUGAUUUUCCCUCAAUCUCGAAGAGCCACUCUCUCUUCAAAAACUUCCCCCUCCAAUAUUACCUUUAGAAAUCCCACUCAUUCUUCAAGGUACAUUUCAACUACCACCUCUUCUGUGACAUUUUUUUCUGUUACUACCACUAGAGAAUGCCUUUUUUCAAUUCUUUUCAUUCUCUUAACAAACUUAGUAUUUUGUUUAAUAAUAAAUGUAGCAUGCAUUUAUUGUAAAGCUAUAUGCAUUUCUGUAGCAAAGACUUUCUGCUUGUGAUUAUUUAUGAACCUUUCAUAAUCUCCCUGCUAUAUAAUGUUUGCCUUUUGACCGCAGAGACCACCCUAGUCAUUUUUAUAUGUCCUGAAGCAUUUAGCGCAAUAUUAUUUAUUGAGUUGAUUUGAAUGGUAAUCUCCAUAAGACUGUUGCCAAAAACUCUAGGAAUAAAAAAAUGAGAUAAUGAUUCUUAGUGAUAGUCCCCUGGAUAAUUUGAAUGAAAUUCAUUAGCAGGACCUGGGGAACCAAACUCAUCUUUCCAACUAGAAAUGACAGCCAUAGCGUGAGACUCCCACCUCCUCCAAAUUUAUAGAAAUAAUGGACAGAAUAUAACUAUUUUAAACUAUAAAGCUGAGUUCAAAAUUGAGAGACCAAAAACUUCAGAUACCAGAAUGAAGAAGAACUUCAAAGUCAUAGUAAUAAGAGCCAGGAGUUAAGGUUUUAACCUCAUGCAGGACCAAGAGGUGAGACCCUAGAACCACUUAAUGUGUAGCUGGAAUGAAAAUUCCUGCAUAAAUUAGGACCCUAAAGAGGUUGUCACUUUUUGAAGCCUAAGAAAGUUGCCAAGAAGUUUAUCUUCUACCCAGUAGCCUAGAUUGGACAGAGGUGUGGGGUAGCAGUUCCCAUGAAAAUGGAAAGUCCUAGCUGAAGGAAAUCCAGUUUUUACAUUAGCAUUUGAAGACAGAAGCCCAAACUUAGAAACAGAGAAAUUGCCAACCCCCUAGGCUUACAAAUAUAAAAAUUUGUAGUAGUAGUAAGGGCACUUGUACAACUCAGAGCAUUAAAGAAUCCCACAGAAUAAAUUACCUUCACUGAAGAUAAACUCUCAACAAAAUGUGCACCACAAGGGAAUAAUCCACCACAAGGGACAGUUAACAGAUACACCAAAUUGGAAAAAAAUCUGGGACGCCUGAGUGGCUCAGUUGUUGAGCGUCAGCCUUCAGCUCAGGGCAUGAUCCCAGGAUCUGGGAUGGAGUCCCACAUCAGGCUCCUUGCAGGGAGCCUGCUUCUCCCUCUGCUUGUGUCUCUGCCUCUCUCUCUGUGUCUCUCAUGAACAAAUUAAUAAAAUCUUUUUUAAAAAAGGAAAAAAAAAAUCUGUGCCCAAAUAACUUCCAUUAAUAAAACAACCUUAACAUGACUUCAAAAUCUGAAUAAAAUGGUUAAAAACAUAAAAGAAAGACUAUAAGAUAAAAAUAAAGUGAAAGAACAAGAUAAGAUUAAAAAUGGAAGUAUUUGGGGGAAAAGAGAAACAUUUGGGAAAAAAUUGGGCUUUAUUGAUUCAUUAGUUCUUUCAACAAAUAUUUUUUGAAAACCCACAAAGUUCCAGCCCUAUUUGCAGUGCUGGAGAUAAAAUGGUGAAUGAGAUACACAAAUCCCCUACUAUGACAGAGCUUCUAUCAUGUUGAAAAUAAAACAGUUGGGGCACCUGGGUGGCUCUGUGGUUGAGUGUCUUGCCUUCGGCUCAGGGCAUGAUCCCAGAGCCCGGGGUUGAGUCCCCCAUCGGGCACCCCAUGGGGAGCCUGCUUCUCCCCCUGCCUAUGUCUCUGCUUCUCUCUCUGUCUCUCAUGAAUAAAUAAAUAAAAUCUUUCUUUAAAAAAAAAAAAACACUCAACACAUGGGUUUAACAGAUAGACUAGAAACUGCAGAAGAGAUGAUUAUUCAGUUGGAAAAUAAACUUGAGAAAAUUAUCCAUAAUCAGCACAGAGGAUACAAAACAGAGAAUAGUGAAAUUAAGAGAUAUGGAGAAUAGGGGUGCCUGGGGUGGCGCAGUCAGUUGAAUGUCAGACUCUUGGUUUCAGCUCAGGUUGUGAUCUCUUGGUCAUGAUCUUGAUCUUGUGGUCAUAAGACAGGGUCCAUGUUGGGGCUCUGCACUCAGCACAAAGU